CCUACGGGAGGCAGCAGUAAGGAAUAUUGGUCAAUGGACGAAAGUCUGAACCAGCCAUGCCGCGUGAAGGAUGAAGGCCCUCUGGGUUGUAAACUUCUUUUAUCUGGGACGAAAAAAGCUCAUUCUUGAGCACUUGACGGUACCAGAGGAAUAAGCACCGGCUAACUCCGUGCCAGCAGCCGCGGUAAUACGGAGGGUGCAAGCGUUAUCCGGAUUCACUGGGUUUAAAGGGUGCGUAGGUGGGUCUGUAAGUCAGUGGUGAAAUCUCCGAGCUUAACUCGGAAACUGCCAUUGAUACUAUAGGUCUUGAAUCAUCUGGAGGUAAGCGGAAUAUGUCAUGUAGCGGUGAAAUGCUUAGAUAUGACAUAGAACACCAAUUGCGAAGGCAGCUUACUACGGGUGCAUUGACACUGAGGCACGAAAGCGUGGGGAUCAAACAGGAUUAGAUACCCUGGUAGUCCACGCCCUAAACCGAUGGAUACUCGACAUCAGCGAUACACUGUUGGUGUCUGAGCGAAAGCAUUAAGUAUCCCACCUGGAAGUACGACCGCAAGGUUGAAACGUCAAAUGAAUUGACGGCUGAGAGNGCGACGGCGACGACGAGGGAGGAGG
rnacentral:rRNA from 1 species